rnacentral:lncRNA from 1 species
GCAUUUGAAUUUUUAUUCUACAACACAAGCAACAUAAAUACAAUCUUUUAAAAUAUUUUCUCUUUAGAAUUUUCAUUUUCACCUCAGAUAAAAUGUACACAAAAUACACUUGCAAGCUUGCUUACAGGGACCUGUUAAACAAUGAACAGACAAAUUCUAUCAAACAGUUUAUCAACAUAUAAAGGAGGAUAGUUUCAGGGUUUUAAAAAAAAUUAUUAAUGUGAGCAAACUGAUUAAAUAAGGCGGCAAAUUAAAAUUAUAUUUCCUUGACAAGUCCUUUGGAGUAAACAAAAUGCUUCAAGGCUCCUGGUGAAUGGGAUUGCAAGGAUGAAUUCUGCAUUUUAUAGGUAAAAUGAUAUACUGACUCAAAUAAUUAUGGCUAUACCACGCUUUACUUACAAUUUUUAUGCAUGAAAACAAGUCAAUUCUUUGGCAUAAUACAAGAAGGGAUAAAAGAACCCUUACCACCUUCUGGCUUUAUUUAGAGUGGGAAGUGGUAGUAGGGGAACUGUUUAUAAUGUAAUUUAUUUCUCUUAGAAAUGCAGGAAAAUAAUCUUGAAUAACAACUUUUUGGCAUGAUUAGGGCAAUAAACAUCUUAUUCUUAGCUCCCUUCCUCCCACCCCCACCCAUCCACUGAAAACAAAUCAACAAACAAAAAUAAGUGAAAUUACUCUUUCCCUCUAGGCACCUGCUCCUGCCCCUAUCAUGCCAUACCUGGAUAUCCUACCACAUGGUUUCAAUUGAAGUGAAACCAAAAAUAUCAAAAUCAUUAAUCUUUGUCCAGUUUUGCCUAUUUAGCAGGAAACCAAUUUUUAUUACAGAGGACCACUUCCAACAAAAUACAGAUGAAAGAACUGCCAAGGGAGGAAUACAAAGUAGCCUGCACAUGAUCAUGAGGUAGUCAUGGAUGACCACUGGUGGCUGGUAGUGUCAGGGCUUGAGAUUCCCUAACUUGAAAACAUAUUUUAUGUGGUAGCUCAAAAGAUUGGAUUUUAGAUUCCCCCCAUCCCUUUUUUGGCACCAAUUGGUAAAAUAAGUUGGAACUAAAAUUAUUCCCAGAGAUUAGUAUUUUAAAUUUAACUUGAAAAUCAAUUACUAUUAAAAGAGCUAAAAGCACACAUAAUUUCUAAAAUGGAUUAUGGAAAACAAAAGUGUAAUAAAACUCUUCAAUUAUUUCCAUCCACAGAGGCAAGAACUCUACUCUUUAGUACCAUUAACACUUUGAUAUGCUUUCUGAUCUCACUAAAUCUAGUAAAUACUGUAAUUAUCUUCUCAUACAAAAAUCUAAAUUAAUUUAAACAGUGUUAGAGUAUUCAAGCAGAAAGUUUUAAAGAAACUUAAAUCAAUAAGAAGUAUCUGUAAUUAAUAUAGUUUAUACUUGGAUGAUAAUUUAAAAGUUCUUAAUUUUUUUCUCUUGAACUAUUCCAUGAACCUUUUUUUAAUGCAAGAAAAGAAUUUCCAAGGCUAAUUAAUCAAAGAAAAUGUUAGGAAAUCAACUAAGGCCCCACCUACACUUGAGUUAACAUGAUUUCAUUGUAUUCCCAAAGCAUAUUGAUACAUGUGUACAUUUCUCCCAUAAUUGGAAAACGAGGAGUGUGGUCUCCACUGUGCAGAUAUGAACAGAAACACAUUUUCUGAAAAGUCCUUAAAACAGGCACAUGUACUGCUAAAAGGGAGUUAUUCAGUUUCCAAAUUUCCAUGAAACCACUUGGUAGACUCUUUACAGGUACACAGGAAAUGAAAAUAUUUACACCAGACAGUUAAAUGAAAGAUGAAGGUACAUCAAGUAGUGUAAUAUCAUUUUGACAUGUUGAUAUUUGGGUGACUAAUGAGAGAGAGAAACCUACUAGCAAGCAAGCAAUGACUCAAAAACCUCUGGAAGCCAGGAGCCAAGAUUGCAACAGAGUUGAGAUGGAAAUAUUAAAACUGUAUGACAGAAGAAACUCAAACACUGUGUAUUUAAAUUUAAAAUCACCUCAGUACAAGUCAAAGGGUCAACAUGAUACAAAUGAUCAUCCAUAGAACCAGUGUUUCUAAGUACAAAGACGAAAAGCUUACACAGAUCUCACUGUCCCAUUGAACUGAUACAUUCAUUGUCUUUGAGCUUGUAAAAAACCGAAUUGUUGGUAUAAUAAACCUAGAAACUGGGAAGGUUGAAUAGGAAUGCUGUAGAGAAUCCAAUCCCAAGUUGUCUGCCCCAGGUUGUUUGUUGUUUUCUCUAGAGCUUGAUAAGUCAGGCUGAUCUUAAAGGUAGUAGCUGGAAAUUUUUUCAAGGCAGUUCUCAGAGUAUGGUCCCCAGACCAGCAGCAUUGGCCUCACCUGGGUCCUUGUUAGGAAAGCAAAUUUCCAGACCUACUGAAUUGGAAACCCUGGGCAUGGGCCCAACAACCUGUGUUUUAACAAGCCCUCCAGGUGAUUCUCAUGUGUGCUAAAGUUUGAGAACCACUUUAGAACAAAGUCAAAAGAUACCACACAACCACUACUUAAACCUUCAGGAUAGGAACUAAUAGUACAAACAAUUCUUGGUGAUUGAAAGGCUGGAAGGACCAUAAGUGGAUGGGAUUCACCCGCAGUUGACUACGGUUUUGUCACGAAGAUGGUCAGCCAGUCUCUCCUCCCUGGAACUCUCAUGCAUUAUUGUACAAAGAUAGAGGGGACAGGUUUUGUAUGGUGCUAGUGGUGUGGCAUCGAGUUUUCUUCAAUUAGUAAGUGGUGCCAUCAUUUAUAUGGAAAUUGAGCAUUAUUCCCAACUGAGUUUCUCAUAGAUUAUCCCCGGGGAUAAUUUUUUUGGUCUGUUUUCCCUGAAGCAAUAAUUGUGUUUUGGAAAUCUAAAUGGUGUUCUAGUCCAACACUUUGUAUUAAACUAUUUGUUACUUCCACAUCAAAUACAAACAUUAUAAGCAGAGGAAGAGGAUCUCACAAGAGACAAUUUUCUAGAUUGCUCCACUAUGAGGAAGGAGAACACAAUUUUUCUUGAUGAAGCAUAAUUAUGAGUUCUAUACUAGUUUCAUAAAGCUUGCCCAAUAACAAGUUCAUAUUUCCAAUAAAAAGUGCUUAAAAAGAGUCUCUUGCUUUUUUAAGGCCACACUAAAUGUCACUAGGAUCACCUAAGUGGUACCCAUGCAUAUCCAAGUUUUGUUAUUCACUUAAUGAAACGUGUUGGACUUUUUUAAUGCCUGUCUCCGCAGAAUAUGCAGAAAUAUUUAGGCAUGUGGCACGUGGUUGCUAUGGAUAUUGACCUGAUGCCCUCAGUACCCGGAUCUUUAAACAAUCUUGUCUUACCCGU